UCUAUAUUUAGGAUGUGCUCUUACCCUGCCCCUGCCCAGGGCUGAUUCCCCUCGUCGGCCUUCAGGUGCCAGCCUUGCCUUCAUGUCAGCUUCCAUCAGCGGGUCCCUCACUGUCUUGCACCUUUGACCUCUGCAGUGGCCCCAUCCUUCCAGCAACAAAAAGCAAGCACCUACAGAGAUGUCCACUUCUGAGAAGAUGGAGUCAACAUCCUUUUCCUGUUCCCUUCUCUGAGUACAACUAAAAACCCAGGACGUUAUAUAGAAGACAAACAUAGGAAGACUGAUGAAAGGUGGAGAGAGGAAGACAGACUGACUACGGAUCCCAGGACUAGAGGAAGUACACGGUGCAAAAGCAUGAGGAUGUGCGUGCGGACGCACGGACCUCUCAUUUACAGCUGGCGGAGACUGUGGUACAAAAAUAUGAAAAGCGAAAGGGUGAGACUCUGAAAAGAGAAUAUAGAAGAGCCUGUCUGAUUUCAAGGAAGAUUAUCGAAUCAAUCACCAGAAUCUUGGAGGUCUCCUGUUAAAGAAGCAGGAACAUUGAGGGGACUGAGCUUUCCUGUCUUCAGAAUGAAAAAAGAAAGGGAGUGCCAGAGAUCGAGUGAGUGGAGGGGCACAGAAUUCUCGGGGUGUCUCCAUUCAUCUGCCCGCCCUUCGUACCCACCGCGCCGGCCGACAUCCUGGAAAGAACCCCGUUUCGGCUCAGAGACCCUCAUGUCAGAACACCUGGGUAGUGAGUCACCUCUGUCUUCGAAGGACCAACCAAGCACGUGGCUUCCAUCCUUAAGAUCACCUAGCGAUCCAAGAAGGAUCCUGGAGACCCAACCCGCCCAGCCGUGCUGCAAACCUGCAGAAGAGUUUCUACUAACCAAACCAGCUCCUCUGAAAGAAGGCAAAGGAGAAAACUGCAUGAGAAUCUGCUGCUUCAGCCUCUUGGUCAGAGAUGAAAACAAGCCAUCGGUACACGUACACGAUGCUAUCUGGCUUCCUCUGUGUGGAAAGUGCUGAUAGGAAUCGAGAGGGUCCUGUUUGCCGAGACCACAAGCUCCGGGACAACGGAGAGCCAGCAGCCAAUGUCAUUAUACACCUUAGAUGGAGUAAAGCGUCUUAAAGUAUCAAAUACAUGGAUGGCCACCCAG